ACCAGUUGAAAUUUCGAAUAAACUUCGUAACGUUGAGUAAUAACAUUACAUUAUUAAAAUGCUUCAACGACAGUUUAUUCUUGUUAUUACAGUUGAAUUAUUACCCGUGAUCAUUGAUACGGUUUGAAGGAAAGAAUUGUUGAAGUAAAAAGUGAUUAAUUAACAUCUCGAAUAGACUUACUCUGUAUGAACGAUAUGUAGUAUACAAUUAAACGUUGGGCACAGAGGCCACGAAGCGAGUAACGGUAGAAAAAAAAAAAAAACGGUUUAAGGACGGAACAAAAGAAUCUAAUUACAUACUAGCAACUCGUCACAAGUGGCCUGAGACUGAACCGUAACUCGAACCUCUGAAAACAAUAGGCCGAAAAGUUAACAAAUGCCAAGGAAAUCCCGGCAUCGAGAAACUUUUUGAAAUGAAACACUUUUAGAGAACAUCGAGUGUGCUCGAGGGAUUAUAUCUCGGUGCAUCCUUGUCCAGUGCCAAGAUCGGGAAACUCUUGCAACGAGAAACUUCCUAUCUCCGCAAAAUUUACACAACUUUGAUAUAAUCUAACACAAUAAUCUAUAAAUUGUUAUUUUAUUAUCUUUUUCGAAAUUUUAGAUUUAAAUUAAAUUUAA